rnacentral:sRNA from 1 species
GCUGGGUGCAAUGGCACAUGCCUGUAAUCCCAGCAGCUCAGGAGGCUGAGACAGGAGGACUGCCAGUCUUAGCAACUUAGCAAGGCACUAAGCAACUCAGUGAGAUCCUGUCUCUA